GACCUCGGAUCAGGUAGGAAUACCCGCUGAACUUAAGCAUAUCAAUAAGCGGAGGAAAAGAAACCAACAGGGAUUACCCUAGUAACGGCGAGUGAAGCGGUAACAGCUCAAAUUUGAAAUCUGGCCUUCACGGGUCCGAGUUGUAAUUUGUAGAGGAUGUUUCGGGCAAGGCUCUGGUUUAAAUUUCUUGGAACAGAAUGUCAUAGAGGGUGAGAGUCCCGUCUAGAACCGAUGGCCGCGUCCAUGUGAAACUCCUUCGACGAGUCGAGUUGUUUGGGAAUGCAGCUCAAAAUGGGUGGUAAAUUUCAUCUAAAGCUAAAUAUUGGCCAGAGACCGAUAGCGCACAAGUAGAGUGAUCGAAAGAUGAAAAGCACUUUGAAAGGAGAGUUAAACAGUAUGUGAAAUUGUUGAAAGGGAAGCGC
rnacentral:rRNA from 1 species